rnacentral:rRNA from 1 species
UACAGAGACUGCAAGCGUUAUUCGGAUUCACUGGGCGUAAAGGGUGCGCAGGCGGCCAAGUGUGUUAGGCGUGAAAGCCUGAGCCUAACCUCAGAAUUGCACCUAAAACUACAUGGCUAGAGCAUUGGAGAGGGUAGCGGAAUUCACGGUGUAGCAGUGAAAUGCGUAGAUAUCGAUGACGGAACACCAGAGGCGAAGGCGGCUAC